AAUCAAUGGUCAAUCAGCGAAUAGGGAAGAAAGUCCCGCCCAUAAGUGAUGACGUUGCACUAAGUGGCGUCGUUUGACCCAAUGUGCUUUGCGGUCCGGGCCUUGGCCAGUGAGGAGCCUUACUGGAGUAGCGUACGGUUGCUAGGCAACCUGUCAGGGUCAGAUGAAAUUAAGAAUCCUCUUUCAAAUGGAACAGACACAAAAGUGAGAGUGUAACAUACUCACUGCAGCCCUAACCUAAUGAUGAGCAGUUUUCUGGAGCUGAAUCAGGGACAGAAUCCCUUUCCUGUUUAGGGUAAGAUAGUGAUCUAGAUCAAUUACCCAUAUUGCUACAUUUAUUUGUAAAAUGUUUCUGUUUAAAUGUUAUCUCCUCACCUGGAUACUUUGUUUAAGUAAUAUUUCCCCUCCUGGAUACUUAUAAUAACACAA